CCUACGGGAGGCAGCAGUAGGGAAUAUUGCUCAAUGGGGGCAACCCUGAAGCAGCAACGUCGCGUGGGGGAUGAAGGUUUUCUGAUUGUUAACUCCUUUUGUUAGAGAAGAUAAUGACGGUAUCUAACGAAUAAGCACCGGCUAACUCCGUGCCAGCAGCCGCGGGAAUACGGAGGGUGCAAGCGUUACUCGGAAUCACUGGGCGUAAAGGGCGCGUAGGCGGGUUAGCAAGUCAGAUGUGAAAUCCUAUGGCUUAACCAUAGAACUGCAGUUGAAACUGGUAUUCUAGAGUAUGGGAGAGGUAGGUGGAAUUCGUGGUGUAGGGGUGAAAUGCGUAGAGAUCAAGAAGAAUACUGAUUGCGAAGGCGACCUGCUAGAACAUAACUGACGCUGAUGCGCGAAAGCGUGGGGAGCAAACAGGAUUAGAUACCCGAGUAGUC
rnacentral:rRNA from 1 species